rnacentral:lncRNA from 1 species
AUGGCAAAAUUGAUAACCAGUUGGGCCAUUACUGCUGCUGCUCUGACACGGCCCAAGAUCAGAGCACCAGCCCUCCUGGUGACUGCACCAGGGCUGCAGGUUCUUCAACUGCAAACUAGUACCGACUGGAGUCUCCCUUUCACCUGUCUUGUUCCCAUGCAAUUUCUAUGCACAGAUUUUUGUCUCUUUUUCACUUAAUUGUGCCUAGUAAUUCUUGGCCCUAAAAACAGAGCUGGGACCUUUCUGUGUGUCAGUCUUCCCUCCUGUAGAAUGAAUCGUGUGGUUUGUAGUAAAAUGGGAGUAUCUUUGAAUGAAUAACACUAUGUAAAUCCCCAGAUUUACUGUAGUCAAUUUGUCAUUUCAUUUAACAUGAGAGGUAGACUAUAGGGCAGAGUAUCAUACUACGUUGAUGGAUAAGUUAUUGCUGUAGUUGAGUUUGCCAAAAUUAACACAUUUAUUAUUGGAAAACAACAACAAUGGGGAAAAAAAAGGCUCAACCAAGCAAAAAAACUUUGGAAAAGUUUCUCUUUUCUGAGUACAGGCAUUUUAUGUUAGAGCCUUAGAGCUGAUUCUGUCUCUCCCAAGUUAUAAACCCUUAUGGAUGCACCAUAAACAUGUCCACCUAAUGCAGAGAAAAGCAGAUUAAUUGAUCACAGUAAUAUAUUCUUAUCCACUGAAUAAGAGCAUUCCACACAUUGUUUCUUGUUUUGUUUCUGGCUUGUAAAUCUUCAUUGUAGGAUACAAAUGAAAAUGACCCAAAUAUGUAUUAUUUAUGAAUAGGACUCUCAGAUAUUAUGCUUUAGAUUGAUUGUGUUAGACAGGAUAUAACAGAAGCACAAUAAGUCAAUGAAAAAUAAAAAGCAGAAAAAAUGUUUCAUGCUAAAAAUGUAGUUCUAGUGACACCUCUUAUAUAAAGGACAUUUCCAACACAUUGACAUUUAUAUUUAUCAUAGCUAUGCAUGUGAUUUACAGUUGUCUAAGGUACUGAAUAUCAGGAAUAUCCAUGCACAUACACACCCCUUUGAAUGAUGGCAAGACACAGACUGCUGCAUUGCCCCUUUUACAGCAGGCUUUUCCUCCCCUUUUUAUUUUUCUUCUCUAGCUUCAGGGACGCAGAGGAAGCAGUAGAUCAAUAGGGUGUCUUGACUGAAGUUGCCUGCAGCACUUCC